CUUAAUGCCUGUGGAACUUUUUAUUGAAUUCUUUUCAUGGCCAUCAACUUUGGUGCGGGAAAUGAUUCCAAGAGACAAAGACUCAGUUGUGUGUGCGCACGUGCGUGUGUGGCUGGGAGAGUGGAAGAAUAAAAAAUCCAUUUCCAGAUGGUUGAAAGGAUGCAUAGCACUUUGCUAUUGGCAAAAACAACCUCUUUCAUUUUCAGGAUGUCCUCACAGGAAAUUCAGUCCCUGGCAAGCUUCAGCUCCAGACAGGAAACAUUCUGAGGAAUUUCUUCCAUACAGGUACUAUAUUUGCUUGGAGGGUUAACAUGUUGGAGAUAUUUACCAUGGCUGGAUUUAACUAGCAGGA
rnacentral:lncRNA from 1 species